GCGAGGGAUUGCCCCAGUAACGGCGAGUGAAGCGGCAACAGCUCAAAUUUGAAAUCUGGCUCUCAGGGCCCGAGUUGUAAUUUGUAGAGGAUGCUUUUGGCGAGGUGCCUUCCGAGUUCCCUGGAACGGGACGCCACAGAGGGUGAGAGCCCCGUAUGGUCGGACACCGAGCCUCUGUAAAGCUCCUUCGACGAGUCGAGUAGUUUGGGAAUGCUGCUCAAAAUGGGAGGUAUAUGUCUUCUAAAGCUAAAUAUUGGCCAGAGACCGAUAGCGCACAAGUAGAGUGAUCGAAAGAUGAAAAGCACUUUGAAAAGAGGGUUAAAAAGUACGUGAAAUUGUUGAAAGGGAAGCGCCUAUGACCAGACUUGCGCCCGGUGAAUCACCCAGCGUUCUCGCUGGUGCACUUUGCCGGGCACAGGCCAGCAUCAGUUCAGCGCGGGGGAGAAAGGCUUCGGGAAUGUGGCUCCCUCGGGAGUGUUAUAGCCCGCUGCGUAAUGCCCUGCGCCGGACUGAGGUACGCGCAUUGCAAGGAUGCUGGCGUAAUGGUCAUCAGCGACCCGUCUUGAAACACGGACCAAGGAGUCGUCUUCGUAUGCGAGUGUUCGGGUGUCAAACCCCUACGCGUAAUGAAAGUGAACGCAGGUGAGAGCUUCGGCGCAUCACCGACCGAUCCUGAUGUUCUCGGAUGGAUUUGAGUAAGAGCAUACGGGGCCGGACCCGAAAGAAGGUGAACUAUGCCUGUAUAGGGUGAAGCCAGAGGAAACUCUGGUGGAGGCUCGCAGCGGUUCUGACGUGCGAAUCGAUCGUCAAAUAUGGGCAUGGGGGCGAAAGACUAAUCGAACCUUCUAGUAGCUGGUUUCCGCCGAAG
rnacentral:rRNA from 1 species